rnacentral:lncRNA from 1 species
UUUUAAAACGAUUGUUUAUUAUGAAUAGAAAAAGUUCAAUUUUUGUAAGAUAUAAUACACAAAUUCAUAGUAUCCUAACCUCUUAUUUUCCUGAUUUUAAAUUAUGAUUAAAAUUAAUGCAUAUAUAUGAACAAGUAAUCAAGAAAUAUAGUAUUCCAUACUUAAUCAUUAUAUAACUAAAACAGAUAAAGAUAAGAUACCUACUUUAAAAUCAGGACAUUUAUCUCAAAGACAGAUUUUGUUUUUAACCUUUAAUACUUAAAAUUCCACAGAAAGAGGAAUUAAAGUUAGAAAAUUUAAGAAGCUACUCAGUUCUAUAUUACUAAAUUGAGAAAAAAAUAAUAAAUAAUUGCCUCCUAUAUAAAUAGAAAUUAUUUAUCAAAUUAGAGAUAAUUUCACAUAUUAUAUCUAUUCUUUCUAAAAGAUAUAAGUUUAUGCUUUUUCUUGGCUGGUAUGAGAAAUCUAAGACUAAAC